GCGGGGAUGCCGGAGUGGCCAAACGGGAUAGACUCAAGAUCUAUUGGCUUAGUGCCUACGGGGGUUCGAAACCUCCUCCCCGCA
rnacentral:tRNA from 1 species